rnacentral:rRNA from 1 species
UACGUAGGGCGCAAGCGUUGUCCGGAAUUAUUGGGCGUAAAGAGCUCGUAGGCGGUCUGUCGCGUCUGCUGUGAAAACUCGGGGCUUAACCCCGGGCCUGCAGUGGGUACGGGCAGACUAGAGUGCGGUAGGGGAGACUGGAAUUCCUGGUGUAGCGGUGAAAUGCGCAGAUAUCGGGAGGAACACCAAUUGCGAAGGCAGCUCGCUGGGACGUCGACUGACGCUGAGACGCGAAAGCGUGGGGAGCAACAGGGAUUAAGA